UAGAAUUUGGUGUAAUUGGGAGCACGGAGAGUUUUGGAUUCUUAGGAGUAGGUUCAAUUCCUAUGGUUCUAG
rnacentral:tRNA from 1 species